GAUGAACGCUGGCGGCGUGCCUAAUACAUGCAAGUCGAGCGAAUGGAUUAAGAGCUUGCUCUUAUGAAGUUAGCGGCGGACGGGUGAGUAACACGUGGGUAACCUGCCCAUAAGACUGGGAUAACUCCGGGAAACCGGGGCUAAUACCGGCUAACAUUUUGAACCGCCUGGUUCGAAAUUGAAAGGCGGCUUCGGCUGUCACUUAUGGAUGGACCCGCGUCGCAGUAGCUAGUUGGUGAGGUAACGGCUCACCAAGGCAACGAUGCGUAGACGAACUGAGAGGGUGAGCGGCCACACUGGGACUGAGACACGGCCCAGACUACUACGGGAGGCAGCAGUAGGGAAUCUUCCGCAAUGGACGAAAGUCUGACGGAGCAACGCCGCGUGAGUGAUGAAGGCUUUCGGGUCGUAAAACUCUGUUGUUAGGGAAGAACAAGUGCUAGUUGAAUAAGCUGGCACCUUGACGGUACCUAACCAGAAAGCCACGGCUAACUACGUGCCAGCCGCCGCCGUAA
rnacentral:rRNA from 1 species